rnacentral:rRNA from 1 species
UACGUAGGCAGCGAGCGUUGUUCGGAGUUACUGGGCGUAAAGCGUGCGUAGGCGGUGUCUUAAGUUUGUUGUGAAAUCUCCCGGCUUAACCGGGAGGGUGCGGCGAAUACUGAGAUGCUGGAGUGCCGGAGAGGUAAGCGGAAUUCCUGGUGUAGCGGUGAAAUGCGUAGAUAUCAGGAGGAACACCUGCGGUGUAGACGGCUUACUGGACGGUAACUGACGCUCAUGCACGACAGCGUGGGGAUCAAACAGG